UGGUUCUGGCAUNGAUGAAGAACGUAGCGAAAUGCGAUAAGUAAUGCGAAUUGCAGAAUUCAGUGAGUCAUCGAAUCUUUGAACGCACAUUGCGCCCCUUGGUAUUCCGAGGGGCAUGCCUGUUCGAGCGUCAUUAUAACCCUCAAGCCCAGCUUGGUGUUGGAGUCGCUAGCUAGCGGCCCCUAAAUUCAGUGGCGGUGCCUGUAGGCUCUACGCGUAGUAACUCUCCUCGCGACAGAUCCCUAUAGGCGCUGGCCAACAACCCCAAUUCUUUCAGGUUGACCUCGGAUCAGGUAGGGAUACCCGCUGA
rnacentral:misc_RNA from 1 species